AGACAGCUGCUUUCUAACACAGGAAGCAGAAGCUGCAGGUUGGCUCCUUUGCCUUCUCUUUCUCUUGAGGUGAUGGUUGUAUCUCCCUCCAUCUGCUUCAUUUGCUCUGUCACCCACAGUCACCCCACAGCCCCAGCAGCCCUCACAUGUCACCACACACACACCAAGUCCGUGGUUCUCACUCUCUGUGCGGGCUAGGUGGCCUCAGGCUCACUUUCCUCAGUGCCUCCCCGGGGGUUCUCAGGGGCCACUGUCUUCCUCCUCAGUCUGUUGCCGAAGCUGUGUGGGAAGCAGAGUUCUUGACAUCCUGAAAACAGCGUCAUUUUACCCAUAUUCUUGAAUGGCUUUUGGAUCUGCCAGAGUUUUUAAGAUACUCUAAGCUCCAGUGCCCUAUUGGAAAAUUGAACCUGGUUUUUGUGUGUUUUAGCUGUUUGUGCAGUCCCUCUGCCUCCAGGAAAGUUUCCUGUCUCCGUUCUGUCUCUGUUUCUUUGCUUUGAAGUUUCACGUGGCUGUUAGAAACACUUAGUGCCCUACUGUCUAGACGGUUUGUUCUGGGACAGUCCCCUUUCUUUAUUUGAAAAUCAGGACUGAGUUCUUCAUCCAAACACUGUUUAUAAAACAGACAUUCCCGAGGUGGGCAUGAGGAGGCUUACGCAGGCUGAUUGGCAAGACUUGAGCCCUAGCCUUGUGCUCCAGGCUAUUAUGGGCCACAGAACAAGCUGCUGUUUCAGAAAAGCAACAACUGAAACCUCACAAAAGAGCCCCAGUAAUGCUCUGAAACAUUAGCUUUGUAUUCAUUAAUGUUCAGACACAAGGUCUUGGUGAAACAAUAUUUUGGUCCCUAAUAGAUUAGAUUAGAGACGUCUAAUCUGUAGAUUGUUUUGUAUAAUUUAUUUUUACUUUGUGUGCAUUGGUGUCUUACCUACAUGCAUGUCUGUGUGAGGAUCAGAGGAUCCGGAACUGGAGCUGCCUGCCAUGUGGACACUGGGAUUAUUCGUUAUUUUUAAGAACCAUGAAAAUG
rnacentral:lncRNA from 1 species